UGCAGCCGAGCGGUAUAGAUCUUUCGGGAUCUAGAGAGCGGCGUACGGGUGCGGAACACGUGUGCAACCUGCCUUUAUCAGGGGGAUAGCCUUUCGAAAGGAAGAUUAAUACCCCAUAAUAUUUAGAAUGGCAUCAUUUUAAAUUGAAAACUCCGGUGGAUAGAGAUGGGCACGCGCAAGAUUAGAUAGUUGGUGAGGUAACGGCUCACCAAGUCUGCGAUCUUUAGGGGGCCUGAGAGGGUGAUCCCCCACACUGGUACUGAGACACGGACCAGACUCCUACGGGAGGCAGCAGUGAGGAAUAUUGGACAAUGGGUGGGAGCCUGAUCCAGCCAUCCCGCGUGAAGGACGACGGCCCUAUGGGUUGUAAACUUCUUUUGUAUAGGGAUAAACCUACCCUCGUGAGGGUAGCUGAAGGUACUAUACGAAUAAGCACCGGCUAACUCCGUGCCAGCAGCCGCGGUAAUACGGAGGGUGCAAGCGUUAUCCGGAUUUAUUGGGUUUAAAGGGUCCGUAGGCGGAUCUGUAAGUCAGUGGUGAAAUCUCACAGCUUAACUGUGAAACUGCCAUUGAUACUGCAGGUCUUGAGUGUUGUUGAAGUAGCUGGAAUAAGUAGUGUAGCGGUGAAAUGCAUAGAUAUUACUUAGAAC
rnacentral:rRNA from 1 species